rnacentral:rRNA from 1 species
CCUACGGGAGGCAGCAGUGAGGAAUAUUGGUCAAUGGCCGGGAGGCUGAACCAGCCAAGUCGCGUGAGGGAAGACGGCCCUACGGGUUGUAAACCUCUUUUGUCAGGGAGCAAGGUGCAGGUCGGGACCUGCUGUGAGAGUACCUGAAGAAAAAGCAUCGGCGAACUCCGUGCCAGCAGCCGCGGUAAUACGGAGGAUGCGAGCGUUAUCCGGAUUUAUUGGGUUUAAAGGGUGAGCAGGCGGAGGCACAAGUCAGCGGGAAAAUCGCGGGGCGCAACCCCGAUCCGCCGUUGAAACUGUGUCCCUUGGGUGCGCGAAGGGUAGGCGGAAUGCGUGGUGUAGCGGUGAAAUGCAUAGAUAUCACGCAGAACUCCGAUCGCGAAGGCAGCCUACCGGCGCGCAACUGACGCUCAUGCACGAAAGCGUGGGUAUCGAACAGGAUUAGAUACCCCAGUAGUC